AGCAGCUAGAUAGGUUUAAUAUCCCACGCCUGAUAGCAGCUAGAUAGGUUUAAUAUCCCACGCCUGGUAGCAGCUAGAUAGGUUUAAUACCCCACGCCUGAUAGCAGCUAGAUAGGUUUAAUAUCCCACGCCUGGUAGCAGCUAGAUAGGUUUAAUAUCCCACGCCUGGUAGCAGCUAGAUAGGUUUAAUAUCCCACGCCUGGUAGCAGCUAGAUAGGUUUAAUAUCCCACGCCUGAUAGCAGCUAGAUAGGUUUAAUACCCCACGCCUGGUAGCAGCUAGAUAGGUUUAAUAUCCCACUCCUGGUAGCAGCUAGAUAGGUUUAAUAUCCCACUCCUGGUAGCAGCUAGAUAGGUUUAAUACCCCACGCCUGGUAGCAGCUAGAUAGGUUUAAUAUCCCUCGCAUGUUCGUUCAAUCUUCCAGUACGCCACAUUUAUUUGUCCCCUUCAUACAGAACACAACCUGCUUCGUCUGUUCAUUAGGUUUGGCCUAAUCCAGGUGCUAUGCAGGGUCCCCAAUCAAUUUAAUAAUAACUGCAAACAGCAAAAUAACAUUAUUUUGAAAAUAGAGUGUACUCAAUCUAGUGUCACGACGCACCCUUUUCUGGGUGAAGAUCAUAGCCCUCUCUCUCUCUCUCCCACCACAGGUUUAUGACGGUCAGAAUUACCUGAAACUCUUUGCCCCACUCGGCAAAAAUGAAGGUUCAGAAUCCCUUUGUUACCCCAGAGAAAGAAUGUGCAGUACGGUAACCAGACUGUGCAGUACGGUAACCAGACUGUGCAGUACGGUAACCAGUUGUGCAGUACGGUAACCAGAUUGUGCAGUACGGUAACCAGAUUGUGCAGUACGGUAACCAGACUGUGCAGUACGGUAACCAGUUGUGCAGUACGGUAACCAGAUUGUGCAGUACGGUAACCAGAUUGUGCAGUACGGUAACCAGAUUGUGCAGUACGGUAACCAGACUGUGCAGUACGGUAACCAGACUGUGCAGUACGGUAACCAGAUUGUGCAGUACGGUAACCAGAUUGUGCAGUACGGUAACCAGAUUGUGCAGUACGGUAACCAGAUUGUGCAGUACGGUAACCUCAAAAGACUGAAUAAUGUAACUAUUUCUGUAUUCCAACCAGUUGAAAUUGUCCGUGGGUACUCAAAGAACAAUCAUGUUGAAUUCCUUACUAAUUUGUAAUGUAACUACCACAGCUGAACAACAUAACUGUUUCUCUGAAUGUGUAUAUUUCCCAGUUACCAGAUUUACUUUUGAAUGUUUUAUAAAAUCAAUGAUGGAGUAUGGGACUACUUUUGAAAAGAUGAAAUGUGAUGCUAGCCUUCUAAAUGAGAGUAUAGUUUUUCAUAUAGAGUUUCAAAGUUUCAAAGUCAGUGACCACAGAGCACAUUUACAAAAUGUACAUUUAGUCAAGAUAACGCCAGGACAGGGUCCCCACGCUGAAAUGGCUAAAACUCUAGACCAAAACACGCAGGGUGAUGCUGGUGUGUGAAGUGAUUCAAACUACAACUCUACCAAAGGACAAGCCCAGAGAAUGUGGAGAUCAUCUCCACGCUGAAAUGGUGAAGAAAUAUACAAACUAAAGACCAAUUAUUCAGGCUGCAGCUUUUUAAGUACUUUAGUCUAGUAAACGCAACCAGUCGAAUGACCGAACAGUACUCUGACGUAUCUAUUAUAACAAGCUACAACUGCCAAAGACUUUGAUCUAUGGUGGACAAACCAGAGACUUUCUGUCGACAAUCUAUCCAGCAGACAGACUGGCGAACGCAGAGAGGGACAACAAAGGCCCUCUCUGCGAACGGGUGGGACCAGCCUUUCCUUUGUCUACCAAGCCGUCAUAUCAACUUAGCCCACUAGGGACUUUUCAGUGUAUCAUGUCAGUAACCAAUGUACAACUAUUGUGUGUGUGUGUGUGUUUAUGUAAUUAUGUGAUUGAUUAGUUGGUAAAUAAAUAAUUAAGCCAA